CCGAUAAAACUGCUAAUGAAAUUUCUCGACCAACUUCUCCCAACUCUGGACGAAAUUCGGUGGGAGGUUGAUAUACCAAGCAAAUGCUGAACCGGUCAGUGAAAAAUUGAAAAGUCUUAGCUUGUGAAAGUCGUUAUUGACAUCUCCGCAUUACGCGGUGAAGCGAGCCACAUGUUCUAAUGAGGAUAAGGAUGAUUCUCCGGUAAAAAGGCUAAAAUCUGGGAUUUUGAAACCUCUAGGGUAUUCGAACUGUUCCACAUAAGCUGGAUACGGAUGUAUAAAUUUAGGGAACUUCGGCCCUUUCUUCAUGG
rnacentral:lncRNA from 1 species